rnacentral:rRNA from 1 species
GGCAGCAGUCGGGAAUCUUGCACAAUGGGCGAAAGCCUGAUGCAGCAACACCGUGUGAGCGAUGAAGGCCCUAGGGUCGUAAAGCUCUGUUGUUAGGGACGAAGGGCGAAGGGUUAAUAGCCCUUAGCCUGACGGUACCUUUCGAGGAAGCCCCGGCUAACUACGUGCCAGCAGCCGCGGUAAUACGUAGGGGGCGAGCGUUGUCCGGAAUUAUUGGGCGUAAAGAGCGUGUAGGCGGCUUGGUAAGUCUGCUGUGAAACCUUGGGGCUCAACCCCAAGCGUGCAGUGGAUACUGUCAAGCUAGAGGAUGGUAGAGGCCAGUGGAAUUCCCGGUGUAGCGGUGAAAUGCGCAGAUAUCGGGAGGAACACCAGUAGCGAAGGCGGCUGGCUGGGCCAUUCCUGACGCUGAGACGCGAAAGCUAGGGGAGCGAACAGGAUUAGAUACCCUGGUAGUCCUAGCCGUAAACGAUGAACACUAGGUGUGGGGGGAGUCGAAUCCCUCCGUGCCGAAGCCAACGCGUUAAGUGUUCCGCCUGGGGAGUACGGCCGCAAGGCUAAAACUCAAAUGAAUUGACGGGG